rnacentral:rRNA from 1 species
GAUGAACGCUAGCGACAGGCUUAACACAUGCAAGUCGAGGGGCAGCACGUAGCAAUAUGGUGGCGACCGGCGCACGGGUGAGUAACGCGUAUGCAACCUACCCUCAACUGUGGGAUAAUCCGGCGAAAGCCGGUCUAAUACCGCAUAAAACAGGGGUUCCGCAUGGAAAUAUUUGUUAAAGAUUUAUUGGUUGAGGAUGGGCAUGCGUAGCAUUAGGUAGUUGGUAGGGUAACGGCCUACCAAGCCGACGAUGUUUAGGGGUUCUGAGAGGAAGGUCCCCCACACUGGUACUGAGACACGGACCAGACUCCUACGGGAGGCAGCAGUGAGGAAUAUUGGUCAAUGGGCGAGAGCCUGAACCAGCCAAGUCGCGUGAAGGAAGAAGGCCUUAUGGGUUGUAAACUUCUUUUGCAGGGGAAUAAAGAUAUGCUCGUGAGCGUAGUUGUAUGUACCCUGCGAAUAAGCAUCGGCUAACUCCGUGCCAGCAGCCGCGGUAAUACGGAGGAUGCGAGCGUUAUCCGGAUUUAUUGGGUUUAAAGGGUGCGUAGGUGGGCUGAUAAGUCAGCGGUGAAAUUUUGGUCGCUUAACGAUAAAAUUGCCGUUGAAACUGUCGGCCUUGAGUAUGGAUGAAGUAGGCGGAAUGCGUGGUGUAGCGGUGAAAUGCUUAGAGAUCACGCAGAACUCCGAUUGCGUAGGCAGCUUACUAAGGCAUAACUGACACUGAAGCACGAAAGCGUGGGUAUCAAACAGGAUUAGAUACCCUGGUAGUCCACGCAGUAAACGAUGAUUACUAGGAGUUUGCGAUAGACAGUAAGCUCUACAGCGAAAGCGUUAAGUAAUCCACCUGGGGAGUACGCCGGCAACGGUGAAACUCAAAGGAAUUGACGGGGGCCCGCACAAGCGGAGGAACAUGUGGUUUAAUUCGAUG